rnacentral:lncRNA from 1 species
CUGAUUGAAGAACAGAGCAAAGUGUGCUAGCUCCACAGCUUUAUCAAUGUCAGCAUCCUCACAUACAAUGAAAGGUGAUUUCCCUCCGAGCUCUAGUGUUACUGGUUUAAGAUUGCUUUUUGCAGACAAUCUGAGUACAAUCUUACCAGUAUCAGUUGAGCAUGUGAAAGCAAGAUGCAAAAGUAUGGGAUUCAUGAAUCUCAUACUGGAGUUCAAGACCAAUAUCAUUAAACUUUGAUAGAUAAAAGAUAUAAAUAACCUUGUCGACAUCCAUAUGACGAGCAAGAGCUGCACCAGCUGUUGGACCAUACCCAGAAACUACAAUUAGAACACCAGGAGGAAGACC